rnacentral:rRNA from 1 species
CCUACGGGAGGCAGCAGUGAGGAAUAUUGGUCAAUGGGCGUAAGCCUGAACCAGCCAAGUCGCGUGAGGGAUGAAGGUUCUAUGGAUCGUAAACCUCUUUUAUAAGGGAAUAAAGUGUGGGACGUGUCCUGUUUUGUAUGUACCUUAUGAAUAAGGAUCGGCUAACUACGUGCCAGCAGCCGCGGUAAUACGGAGGAUCCGCGCGUUAUCCGGAUUUAUUGGGUUUAAGGGGUGCGUAGGCGGCCGUUUAAGUUAGCGGUGAAAGUCUGUGGCUCAACCAUAGAAUUGCCGUUGAAACUGGGAGGCUUGAGUAUGUUUGAGGCAGGCGGAAUGCGUGGUGUAGCGGUGAAAUGCUUAGAUAUCACGCAGAACCCCGAUUGCGAAGGCAGCCUGCCAAGCCAUGACUGACGCUGAUGCACGAAAGCGUGGGGAUCAAACAGGAUUAGAUACCCGUGUAGUC